ACGAUUAUCUAGACAGUGACAUUUUGUAACUAUGACAAUGUCUCAAAUUCUUAUUGAUAAAAUAAUGUAGAUGAUUGUUCUGAAGAAAUGAAUGUAUUACAUCCCUUUCUGGAUUUGCAGGCUGGCAUGCAUUUUUUCUUGGUUCUAUUUUAUGUAACAGUGUUGUAAAACAACUCUACCACAUGGGAAUUUUUUUUGAGGCAGAAGUAUUAUGUACCUGUUUGGCAGAUUUCAAAGAUCCAUAUAAUAACGUUUUGUUUAGUCCUUUGGUGUCAGAUAUCUAUUGUAAUAUUCAACCAGAUUGAACUUGUUGAAACUAUAUGCUUCUAUUAUGUAGUCCUACCGUGUGCAGUGCAUAGAUGAAAACCAAUUGCACACCUAGAACUGUAUUAUUAAAUUCGCAUAUUUAAUAUUCCAAAGAGCCAUGCAUCAUAUCAUUUUAAAGUCAUAAAGGAAAUGACAUCUUUUAGGUGUUUAAGAAGCUACUAAUUCAAAGUGGCUUUAGUUCUGCUCAUUAUAUUGGAGUUUUAUGACAUGAACUCAUUUGUGAUCAGCUUUGCGUUGCACGAUGCUACUUAAUGCUAUUUGCCAUUGAUUUGUAAUGCUUGUAAGCUAUUAUUAGUUUGAUUUUCUCCAUACAUUUUUGGCAGCACAUAUUCUUCUGGUUUUGAAUGUUAUUGAUCGACAUUCAAUUCCCUGCAUUUUCCAGGGCCACAGUUGGAGGCAUGCUUCAAUUGCUUCCAAAUGCUUAAUGAUGAUCUAAGAGUCACAUUUCUCUUGGCACAAACUAUUUGACAAUUCUGUCUGCCACUUUCUCUGAGAUUUGACAAAUGUACAGCCAGGCUCUGGUAUCUCUAUUUAAUCUAUGUAAAUGUUUAACUUAAUUUCAGGCUUAUCUUGAUUUGUCAAUUUUGUCAUUAUGCUGGAGGAGGAAGUAUAUAGCUUAUUUCCAAGCAUAGCUCUUAUUUACGUCCAACAUUUUUUUUUUUGGGUGUUCAAUAACUGCAAAACUCGCACCAAAGCAACAUAUUUGCAAAGCUAUAUGAAGCACCAUUCUACUAAAUAACUGACGUGUUCUUUAAGACUGAAAUCUGUUUUUAGAAUUAAUAUAGUUAAAUGUUCAUUCUUUAUAAAUGUAACAUAUAAAUGAAUAUAGUUAUAUACACAGUAUAUAAAUAUAUAUUUGAGAUAUGCAAUCACUACUUAUUGCUGUCAUUAGUUUUAAUUUUCAUCAUAGCAUGUAAACCAGUUUAACAAAAUGCAUAGCUGCUGCUUCAGUAACAUCAGAGUUCUCCAUCAGACCUAUCUUAAGAUUUAUUAUGUAUCAAACCCAACUUCUACUUAGCAGUGCAAUACAGCAGGUGCGGCCCAAAAAGAGUUAUAUUCAGGUUCAUGCUGCAUCUUUAGGCUGGCUGUUCACCUGCAUUUCUAUGGUGCUUGUGGAGCUCUUUUGACUUGGUUGGCAUGAGAUUUCCUCCAAGAAGCAACUCAAUGGAGAAAAUAUAAUUAAAAAGUUGGACUAGAUUCAUUGCUGACCCUCCUCCAAGGAGACAAUUCUGGAGUGGAGAAGUAGAGGCAAUCAAGCACAUAAGAAAUAUAGCUCCCGUUUGAGUCACAAUAUUGUAAAAAUGAGAAUGAAAAAUAUAGUCGUUAUGAACCCCACACAAAAGAUAAAAAGUCAAGAUGUCUUGAUGUAAUGAAUAACGGUCAUAUUUUUCAUUUUAAUGAGGAAAUAAUGAAACUCAAAUAGGGCCAUAUUAAAGAGAUGAGAAAGGCUGCUCUACCAGGCCUGUUUGUGAGGAGCCUUGUAUUCUCAAGUGAGAUUUCUGUAUAAUUUGAUGUGCAUUGAUAUCUAGUUGAUCGCGGAGUUCGUUUG